UCCUACGGGAGGCAGCAGUGGGGAAUAUUGGACAAUGGGCGCAAGCCUGAUCCAGCCAUGCCGCGUGAGUGAAGAAGGCCUUCGGGUUGUAAAGCUCUUUCAGACGUGACGAUGAUGACGGUAGCGUCAGAAGAAGCCCCGGCUAACUUCGUGCCAGCAGCCGCGGUAAUA
rnacentral:rRNA from 1 species